rnacentral:rRNA from 1 species
AUUGAACGCUGGCGGCAGGCCUAACACAUGCAAGUCGAGCGGAUGAAGGGAGCUUGCUCCUGGAUUCAGCGGCGGACGGGUGAGUAAUGCCUAGGAAUCUGCCUGGUAGUGGGGGAUAACGUCCGGAAACGGGCGCUAAUACCGCAUACGUCCUGAGGGAGAAAGUGGGGGAUCUUCGGACCUCACGCUAUCAGAUGAGCCUAGGUCGGAUUAGCUAGUUGGUGGGGUAAAGGCCUACCAAGGCGACGAUCCGUAACUGGUCUGAGAGGAUGAUCAGUCGCACUGGAACUGAGACACGGUCCAGACUCCUACGGGAGGCAGCAGUGGGGAAUAUUGGACAAUGGGCGAAAGCCUGAUCCAGCCAUGCCGCGUGUGUGAAGAGGGUCUUCGGAUUGUAAAGCACUUUAAGUUGGGAGGAAGGGCAGUAAGUUAAUACCUUGCUGUUUUGACGUUACCAACAGAAUAAGCACCGGCUAACUUCGUG